CUGUGACGUUUGGAGAUUUUCUUUGCGGAAAAGCGUGCGUCCUCGCUCUCUCGACGGAAUUGUUACGCCGCGGAGUUUACGAGGUUUUCUGGGGAGUUUUGCUGAUCGUCCGGGAAGUUUUGGGUGGAAAAGGUGACCUUUUUUGAAGGGUUUUGUUGGCGUGCGACGACUUUUUCGGAAGUUCGCUGCUGGCACCCUUGAAAGGGUUUGAAGAAGGAAAGAAAAUUUGUCGAUUUUUGGAGUUGGAAAAGGAAAAAUCACAAAUAAAAAUAUUGGCAUUCCUACGUUUCAGUGAGUGUGCUUGUGUGCCUUCGGCACACGUGAGUCGAUUGUUAUAAAUUGAAAGAGAUAAAAUAAAUAUAUUAAAUUGCCAAUUGUGAGGAGUUCAGCUGAAUCCUUCGAUUCCCGUUCGCUGUGUGUGAUUGUGUCCUUGUGUGUGAAAAAAGGACUGAAGAAGCUCCAAAUUGAAAAAGCGAAAGCAAAAAAAAAAAAAUAAGCCAAGAAUCGUCGACGAUUUCCAAUUUUCGAGAGCAGCGAAGGCGAAGCCACACAAUAGUCCACGUGGCUUGUCGUAAGACUAGCAGGUUCUCGAUAGCUUAAGGUGGUUGGGGUAGGAGCAGAAUCCCCCCUCCUUCUCGAGCCGCUUUAUUUCCUGGAGCUGGGAGGGAAAACCCACCCGCAGGGGGUCCCAGGAUUAUCUCGGAACGAGGCAAGUUUUGCGCUCGACACAGAUAAAUCAGUUAUUGGAUUAAAUUUAUUGAAGGAAAAAAUCGAUCCGAGUUGGAGCUCUGCACGAGUUCAACUCCCGUGAGGGCACUUAGCCAGAAUUAUUAAGUGUGGCAUUCAGAUUAAGGCCCACCUUCGGUGUGGUCUUCUGUGGCUUCUCGACGACCUCCUCUGUAUUGUGAAAUUUGUGCUUGCCGAAGGCGUCGAUUUUGCCUUGGCCAACAAAAAAGAGUGCUCCAAAAAAAGUGCACCAAAAGCAUUGCUCUGUUCUCCCAGUGCAAAAUUGUGUUUAUCCACCAUUAAAAGGAAGAGAAAGCAAGAAAACAGUGCCCGCGCGCGAGGUAGCAUCAUCAUCAUCCUCCGAUCGUCCUGAAGCUUGUGUUUGUUGUGUGCUUAACCUAGUUGUUGCAGUGAAGGGGGGUGGGAGGCAAUACGGUGUGCUGCAGCAGUUUUGUUGUUGUUUUUUACCCGAAAGGUGGCCAAGUCCACCGGAAAAAAGGCAGCCGAUAAAAGCGUGUUAGAUAAAGCCAGAAAAAAAGUGUAACAACCUCCACUUUCCCAAAAAAAAAAGAAGAAGCAAAAAUAAAAAAAAGUGAGUGUUUCUAACGAUUGCAGCAAUUUCCAUCUUCUCAACGACGACGAUACAAACAGUCCGGAAAAACCGCACAACCCGCAAGCACAGCUUGGGCACCAAAUGAGGAUAAAGUGCAUCGGAGAAAAAGCCAGCUCCAUUUUGCACCCGAAUGUGUGUGUGUGUGAAAAGCUGUACCAAUUCAGCAGUAGCAAUCUCGGCAAACCACAAGCCAAUUUUCGAUUUGACGACUGAAUCGCAUCGAAAACAGAUAACCAGGUAAUGUGUUAUGCUUACUUAAUGAUGAUUGAUGAAAAUUGCCGAAUGUUAAACCGAUAUGAGUUUGACUCAUCCCCUGAGUUAAGUUUUACAAUAUAAUAUUUAGUGCUACAAUUUCAAAAGACUAAUAAAACAACUUCCCGCGAUUGAUGUGAACCCUUAAGCCAAGUUCAACUUAGUGUUCUAAUCGAAGUAACUGAUCAAUUAUCCAAACAGUCCAUCCAAAGUCAACCAAUUUCCCCUCCACAAUCCUCUCAAUUACUCUCGCAAACAAGCAUCGUUCAACUCUGUGCCAGGAUCCAUUGCGAAAUCAUUUGCCACCGCAAAAACCCCAAAUCGCCACAUCCUUCCAUUCCUGCUGUCCGAUUUCUGAUUGCCGGGCCCCGCGAUUUUGGCACAGCCUUGGAAUUUGUUUUGUUUUCUCGCCACCAAAAGCAAGGUCCGUCUUCCGUUCCGGGGUUUUCCGGGGCUCGUUGCCAAAUGAAAUUUUCAUUGUUCUAUCGCAAAGGGACAGCCGUUGUCUCCUCUCGCAUGGUUCCAGUUCAACAACCCCGAAAAUGGUCACCCGGGACAUCACCAGAGAGCGGUGGGACAAACCAGCUCUUGAUUUCCGCUGGAAGUUCGGGGUCAAAUGGACACCAGGUUUUAUUUUUAGCGCAAAACGAACAUUUAAAAAUCUCAAUUUCACCCCACAUUGCCCCCGCUUCCAAAAGUCCCAAGUGCAAGAAAAUCUGUCAGCCGGCCAACAAACGGAGAAUCGGCCGGCUGCACUUCUUCUGGCACGGGUUGUUGUUGCCUGAUUUGGGCUGAAGUGGACCCACCCAGAGUUAUCCCAGAAGGGUGGUGGUGUGCAAGCAGCGUGAAGAAAAUGCCGGGCGAAUGAAAUUUGUUGGCCCCGAUCCAAUUUGGUGUGAGUCGGUUCGGGUCCUUGAAUUGUGUUGGAAUUCUCGGAGCUGGAGCUUUUUUUUUUGGCAUUGUGACUAUCUUAUUUUCAAAGCGAAGAGCGAUGAAUGGAAAUGGGUCGGUUGGUCGCGACUGGUGAAGGGAUGGAGAGGAGAUAGAGUGUGCUGCACAAACAAACAAUCCGUUUCUGGGGGAAACUCGACUUUAUCAAUUUACAGGGAACUAAGAUGGGGAAGGAUUUGGAAAAGGGGAUCGUUUAACUGUUUUGUUGGGUUAGUUUGGAUAAGAUUUUUAAAUCAAUCUUUAAAAAUUCAUCAUUGCAUUGAUUAAUUAAAGUUUCGUUUCACGUUGAUUCAGAUACAGCGAUUUUACUGAAAAAAGUUUGAUUUCAACAAAAAGGGAUUAGUCCCGCAUAGUUCGGCUUUUAUAUGUGAGAAACUUAUUUCGCAUUUAAGGGUUCAAAUUUUAUUUUUA